rnacentral:rRNA from 1 species
GAUGAACGCUGGCGGCGUGCCUAAUACAUGCAAGUCGAGCGAACAGACGAGGAGCUUGCUCCUCUGACGUUAGCGGCGGACGGGUGAGUAACACGUGGAUAACCUACCUAUAAGACUGGGAUAACUUCGGGAAACCGGAGCUAAUACCGGAUAACAUAUUGAACCGCAUGGUUCAACAGUGAAAGACGGUCUUGCUGUCACUUAUAGAUGGAUCCGCGCCGCAUUAGCUAGUUGGUAAGGUAACGGCUUACCAAGGCAACGAUGCGUAGCCGACCUGAGAGGGUGUUCGCCCAACUGGAACUUGAGACACGUCCCGGACCCCUACGGGAGGCAGCGGAGGGAAACUUUCCGCAUGGGGCGAAGGCCUGACGAAGCAACGCGGGGUGAGUAAAGAAGUCCUUCGGAUCGUAAAACUCUUUUAUAGGGAAGAAACAAAUGGGAAAGUAACAAUGCCCGUCUGGACGGUACCAAAUCAGAAGGCCAGGGCUAACUACGG